UUGACUGCUAAUGAGGUAUAAAUAUAAGAUGGGUCCCAAAAUAAGAUAUCAAAAUUUUAAUUUUGAUUCUGUGUUCGAACAUAGAAUCUUUAAAUUUUUUGAAAUAAAAUUUACAUAUUUGGAAAGUCACCGUAAUUAACAAUUUAAAAUAUUUAAAAGACAUAUAAAAAAAUUACGGUAAAAAAAUAACUAAUUUAACUCUCAAAAAACGAAAAGUGUCAAACAAACCGGGACCGAAGGAGUAGCACUAAAGUAGAAGGCAAUAACAAUUCAAAAAGAAAAUGUUGAGUGGUCGAAUUUCUGGCGUCUGGCUCUUAGAACUAGUUUUUUAAUUAGUAGUAUCAUUUUGAUAUUCUAUAGUUACGUUACAACUAUAAAUAGGGUAGAGCAAUAGCAACUGUGGAGUCACUCGUCCACAACGUGAGAGAAAAACAUGGAGGGAUUGGUACUUUGCCCUGCAAACCACAUACCGUUGCGUUGACACCUCUAAGUUUUGUGGAACUUGCUGCAUUUGUUUACCGCAAAAAGGUAGCCUUAAUUCAUGGAAAUAUAAGUUAUUCAUGGGAAGAGUUGCAUGGAAGAUGGGUCAAGCUUGCUUCUUCUCUUUCUCAGCUUGGAGUCUCCCCUGGUGAUGUUAAGAUUUAGAGAGAUGGCUUUGGUUUUGCCACCAUCAAGAUUGCAAGAAGAAGAUGAACAUAGGUGAAGGCUGAUUUUUUUUUUUUGUUAUUGUUUUUUUUAAUGAGGGUUAACAAGAAGAUGAACAGGCUAGAAACUUUUUUUUUUCUUCUUUUGAAAAUUAGUGCUUACACGCCGCAAGCGGGAUUGGACGAGGAGGAAAAGAGACGCUUUUGGGAGGACUUGGACGAAGUUGUGGGUAGUAUACCGCCUACUGAGAAGUUAUUCGUAGGAGGAGAUUUCAAUGGGCACAUUGGGUCUGUUUCGAGGGGUUAUGACGAUGUGCAUGGGGGGUUUGGCUUCGGGGACAGGAAUGGAGGAGUAGUCGCACUCCUGGAAUUCGCAAAGGCUUUUAGAUUGGUGGUAGCCAACUCGAGUUUUCCGAAGAAGGACCAAUUUCAUCAUUUCUGAAUCUGAAUCUGAUCCCCAAUACGCUGCAUUAGAAUUUGGCUCUGCUUCGUCGUAGCAAUUCAGACCAUUUGCCUUCCCCCAA